CAGCAGCCGCGGUAAUACGAAGGGUGCAAGCGUUAAUCGGAAUUACUGGGCGUAAAGCGUGCGUAGGCGGUUUGUUAAGUCUGUUGUGAAAUCCCCGGGCUCAACCUGGGAAUGGCAAUGGAUACUGGCAAGCUAGAGUGUGUCAGAGGAUGGUGGAAUUCCCGGUGUAGCGGUGAAAUGCGUAGAGAUCGGGAGGAACAUCAGUGGCGAAGGCGGCCAUCUGGGACAACACUGACGCUGAGGCACGAAAGCGUGGGAAGCAAACAGGAUUAGAUACCCCAGUAGUCCCUGUCUCUUAUAC
rnacentral:rRNA from 1 species